rnacentral:rRNA from 1 species
UUCCAGACUCCUACGGGAGGCAGCAGUGGGGAAUAUUGCACAAUGGGGGAAACCCUGAUGCAGCAACGCCGCGUGAGUGAAGAAGUAUUUCGGUAUGUAAAGCUCUAUCAGCAGGGAAGAAAAUGACGGUACCUGACUAAGAAGCCCCGGCUAACUACGUGCCAGCAGCCGCGGUAAUACGUAGGGGGCAAGCGUUAUCCGGAUUUACUGGGUGUAAAGGGAGCGUAGACGGCAUGGCAAGUCAGAUGUGAAAGCCCGGGGCUCAACCCCGGGACUGCAUUUGAAACUGUCAGGCUGGAGUGCAGGAGAGGUAAGUGGAAUUCCUAGUGUAGCGGUGAAAUGCGUAGAUAUUAGGAGGAACACCAGUGGCGAAGGCGGCUUACUGGACUGUAACUGACGUUGAGGCUCGAAAGCGUGGGGAGCAAACAGGAUUAGAUACCCUGGUACC